UACGUAGGCAGCAAGCGUUGUUCGGAAUUACUGGGCGUAAGGAGUGUGUAGGCGGCCUGGUAAGUCCGCUGUGAAAGUCCAGGGCUCAACCCUGGAAUGCCGGUGGAAACUGUCAGGCUCGAGUCCGGAAGAGGCGAGUGGAAUUCCUGGUGUAGCGGUGAAAUGCGCAGAUAUCAGGAGGAACACCAAUGGCGAAGGCAGCUCGCUGGGACGGUACUGACGCUGAGACGCGAAAGCGUGGGGAGCAAACAGG
rnacentral:rRNA from 1 species